CGUUAACCUUCUUAAGUGGCUGAAAAGCUAAAUAUCCCUGUAGGUGAUCAGUGUGAUCCUCAGUCAUUAGUUUAGCCUCUGGCUGUUUUGAUUUCAGAGUGAUAAUAAAGAACUUAGUAAAGAAGCCACCACAGAACCAGCACAAGCUCACAGAGGAGCUUCAAAUGCCUGCCUCUGGUUAAAAUGGAUUUAUUUGCUCAGGUUAAAGGAUUUGCUACCCAGACCAGACUUGAAAGUCUAAGACAAAGACUUGACAAGGAGGAGAAACAGGAGAAGUGUCUUCCUUUGGCUUUGGUAUCAAGGUAAUGCUGGCCUCAUAAGAUAUGGGGUCUCACUAUGUUGUCCAUGCUGAUCUCAAACUCCUGGGCUCAAGCAAUCUUCCCACCUCAGCCUCCCAAAGUGCUGGGAUUACAGGAGCACAAAGGAAAGGCCAUGCGAGGACACAGGGAGAAGACAGGCCCCUACCAGUCAGGAAGGGAGCCCUCACCAGAAACUGAGCUGGCCAGCACAAUGGUCUUGGACUUGUAGCUCCAGAACUGUGAGG
rnacentral:lncRNA from 1 species